ensembl:lncRNA MAGEA6-DT MAGEA6 divergent transcript
GGCGUCACAUCCUGGCAACGGUACUACCCUGGGUUCCGGGCAGGGGUGGAACUGGAUUCUGCCUGGAUGGGGAUCGGAUGGGGGUGGAGGUUUGAUUUGGGAAGCAGAGCACAGCAGCCCAAAUUUGUUGUAAUGGCGGCGGCUACAGAAUUGAUUUUGGGAACAGAACACAGCAGCCUGAACUUGAUUGUUAUUUUGGCAGCUACAGGCAGAACAAGAAGGCCAAACAGAAGCCUCCACCAAUUGUCCUCCCUGCAGGAAGAUCAAAUUGAACAACUAUCCACACAAAGAAGCACUUUAAUGAGAAUGAAAAAUCAGGUGAAUGAUCAUAGUACCUGGUUCUAACUUCAUACCACUGAAAGGGGCACUGAAGAUGGUAGGAGAGACAGUCUUGAAUUGCUAACACCAUCCCUGCCCCAUCUCCCAGUAGUUGCUGUGUGGCACGGAAAGAGAAUCUGUGUGUUUAAGGGAGAGAGAGGGCAGUGAUUGUGGGACUUUGCGUUGGAACUCACUACUGCCCUGUUACAGCAGAAAGCAACACCAGGCAUAACUCAGCCGGUACCCACAGAGGGAGCAUUUAGACCAGCCCUAACCAGUGGUCAGAACCUGAGUUCCACAAGCCUCACCACUGUGGACUAAAGUGGUCCGUGGUGCUAAAUGAAAGGCAGUCUAGGCCACAAGGAUUACAAUUCUUGGGCAAGUCCUGGUGCUGGGCUAAGCUCAGAGCCAGUGGACUUAGGGGGCAUGCACCCUAGUGAGAUACCAACUGGGGUGGCCAAGCGGGUGCUCGUACCACCCCUCCCUCAACUGCAGGUAGUACAGCUUGCAGCUUGCCUGUAGUCUCAGCUACUCGGGAUGCUGAGGCAGGAGAAUGGCGUCAACCUGGGAGGCGGAGCUUGCAGUGAGCCGAGAUCGUGCGACUGCACUCCAGCCUGAGCAACAGAGCGAGACUCCAUCUCAAAAAAA